rnacentral:misc_RNA from 1 species
UAUUGCCGGAAGUAUGUGUAUUAUUAUAUUAUAUGGUGCGAAACGAUGGAAUUAAGUCAUCGGUAUUAAAUUCCUGCUGAAAUCCCAGGCAAUCAUGCACGGCACGAGAGUACGAAUUUACCUGUGCCGUAAUAACAAUCAUCGACCUUAAGAAGCCAGUCGACGCAUCCGACCGUUGGAAUUCUUGUUACAAGGACGUUUAAUGAAAAUUUAUAUUAUCUUAUAAAACGUAUGUGUAGCAGUUGAAACGACUAAAUGGUUUUGUUCGUUCAACCACCAACGUUCAGCAAACUUAAUAAGAGAGAAGAGAAACGCCGAAGGGAGUUCAGAACGGGCAUCGGCCUCGUAGAGGGUUCCUCUUCUCCUUCGAGGGAACUUCUUUGAACAGACGGAUUCGAGACGACCCCCGUGCUACGAAGAACGAACCGCUACUUCCAGUAGUUUCCUCCUCUUUUUCUGCCGGCCUAUCUUUUCUUUUUCCCUCGCUCUGUCGUUUCAUUUUCUACCUUCAACGGCUCGUGCAGGAUUUCUUUCAUAGCGAAGUAGAAAUCAUUGGGUUCCUUUUUCCUUCAACCCGGCCUUAUUCCUUCCCCCCUUCUUUCUCUUUUCGUUUCUAUCACCCUUCGUCCCCCUCUCUGGUUCCAUAACUUGAAAGAGUAUUCUUCCAUGGUUUUUCCAUAGGAGAACGUCGAUCUAUUCCACCUCGUGUCAGAUAUGGAGAUUUAUUUUCACGAUUGGGACGUCUUUCUCUUUCAGUUUCCCUGGUUCUUGGUCGCUCGUCGGAUAGUGAGGGACGUGAGAUUUUAUUGUUCAGAUUCGAUCGUGUCAUGCCGAUAUCCAUUUCUUACGGGAAAUCUCCUACCUUUCGUCGAACUUUGACAGCGAGAUUUCGCUUUCUUUCAUUCGGCUGCUUAGUAUACAAUCUUUUUGAUGUUUUUCGAUACGAAUAUUUCUAGGAUUGUUUGCACCCAAUAUCUGCACUUUGCAUGUAUUUACAGAUAUAUAGCACAAAUGUCGGAUGACAGUGAGAAAGCAAACAGAAAGAUAAGAGCAAUUAAUGAAACUUAACAAAGUUUAAUAAAGUUC